AGCGAACGUUGGCGGCGCGCCUAACACAUGCAAGUCGAUCGCGAAAGGACUUCGGUCCGAGUAGAGUGGCGCACGGGUGAGUAACACGUGAGUAAUCUGCCCUUAAGCUUGGGAUAACAUGCCGAAAGGCGUGCUAAUACCGAAUGAGACCACGUCCUCUGUGGAGGAUGUGAGAAAAGAUGGGGAUCCGAGAGGACCUAUCACUUGAGGAUGAGCUCGCGGCCUAUCAGCUAGUUGGCGGGUAAUGGCCCACCAAGGCGAAGACGGGUAGCUGGUCUGAGAGGACGAUCAGCCACACUGGGACUGAGACACGGCCCAGACUCCUACGGGAGGCAGCAGUGGGGAAUAUUGGACAAUGGGGGCAACCCUGAUCCAGCCAUGCCGCGUGAGUGAAGAAGGCCCUCGGGUUGUAAAGCUCUUUUGUCCGGAAGAAAAGCAAUCGGUUAAUACCCGGUUGUUCUGACGGUACCGGAAGAAUAAGCACCGG
rnacentral:rRNA from 1 species